AUUGUUUCUUGGCCUUUUGGCUAAGAUCAAGUGUAGUAUCUGUUCUUAUCAGUUUAAUAUCAGAUACGUCCUCUGAGGACAACAUAUUAAAUGGAUUUUUGGAACAGGAAGGUGGAAAAGGAGUUGGCUCUGUCUACUCCAUGCAUUGACUUUGUAGUGCAUUAUUUCUGGGAACACUGGUGCAGGGGGA
ensembl:snRNA U2 U2 spliceosomal RNA